UGGUUAUUCAGGGGCAGAUAUAAGUAUCAUUGUACGUGAUGCCCUUAUGCAGCCUGUUAGGAAAGUACAGUCAGCUACUCAUUUUAAAAAGAUUACUGUUUAUUUCAGGUUCGCGGACCUUCCCGAGCUGAUCCUAACCAUCUUGUAGAUGAUCUGCUAACACCUUGCUCUCCAGGUGACCCUGGUGCCAUUGAAAUGACAUGGAUGGAUGUCCCUGGAGAUAAACUUUUGGAGCCAGUUGUUUCCAUGUCGGAUAUGUUGCGGUCACUAUCUAACACAAAACCUACAGUCAAUGAACAUGACUUGUUGAAAUUAAAGAAGUUUACAGAAGAUUUUGGUCAAGAAGGCUAAGCCAAAGACAAGGAAGAUGCUUAACCAUAUGUAUUAUUUCUUUCUUAGAUAUUUUUGUCUAUUUUGGAUUGCAUUGAUUGUUUCCAGUAAAACUCUUUUACCACAGGGAAAUAC
rnacentral:sRNA from 1 species